rnacentral:lncRNA from 1 species
UGCAAAGUUCUCCAUUGUCAGAUUACGCUGCCUGAUGGGCAUGAAAAGUCCACAAAAGAGAAUUUUCUGAUGUGAGAAUGGAGGGUGUUGCCUGCAACUACCCCAGAUCCCUGCGGUGGCAGUUUAAGCCGCCUCCUGGAGCAGAUUGUUAAGCUGAUGCGAGUCUGGGCUCUGCCUCACCACUUGUCUCAGAGACAGAGUCUUGCUCUGUCACCUAGGCUGGAGUGCAGUGGUGCCAUCACAGCUCACUGCAGCCUCGACCUCCCCGUGCUCAAGUGAUCCUCACACCUCAGCCUCCCGAGUAGCCGCGAUCACAAGUUAAACAAACACAGUUCUUUACAUCAAUGCUUCCGUCCCUGGCCAUCUGGUCUCCUGUCCCCUCCAGACCCAAAACCAUGGGCUGGGCUGCAGCAAAAUGAGGGUGUACUCAGUGCACUGAGGCCCAUGUACCAUGAGAGAUGGUGAGAGAAAGCCUUGGCCGGAGUUUAAGGAUUUGGGGCUGGGCACAGUGGCUCGUGCCUGUAAUCCUAGCACUUUGGGAGGCCAAGGCAGGAGGAUCACUUGAGGCCAAGAGUUUGAGACCAGCCUGAGCA